CCUACGGGAGGCAGCAGUAACGAAUCUUCCGCAAUGCGCGAAAGCGUGACGGGGCAAUGCCGCGUGCAGGAUGAAGCCCCUCGGGGUGUAAACUGCUGUCAGGGUGCAGGAAAGAAAUGACCAUACCCAAAGGAAGCACCGGCUAACUCUGUGCCAGCAGCCGCGGUAAUACAGAGGGUGCGAGCGUUAAUCGGAAUCACUGGGCUUAAAGGGUGCGUAGGCGGAUGCAUAGGCGCUUUGUGAAAUCCCACGGCUCAACCGUGGAAUUGCUUGGCGAACCAUGCAUCUUGAGGUUGGUAGAGGUCACUGGAACGAUAGGUGGAGCGGUGAAAUGCGUAGAUAUCUAUCGGAACGCCAAAGGUGAAGACAGGUGACUGGGCCAAAUCUGACGCUGAGGCACGAAAGCGUGGGGAGCAAACGGGAUUAGAUACCCCGGUAGUCCACGCUGUAAACGAUGCAUACUUGGUCGGAGCGGUUUGACUCCGUUCCGGCCGUAGGAAAACUGAUGAGUAUGCCGCCUGGGGAGUACGGUCGCAAGAUUAAAACUCAAAUGAAAUUGACGG
rnacentral:rRNA from 1 species